GCGGCGGCUACAAUGCAGUCGAGCGCGGGAAGCGAGCGGAUCCCCUUCGGGGGUGAAGCUCGUGGAACGAGCGGCGGACGGGUGAGUACACGUGGGCAACCUACCUGUAGGAUCGGAAUAACCCCGGGAAACCGGGGCUAAUGCCGGGUAAUACUUUUCUUCUCAUGAAUGAAAGUUGAGAGAUGGCCUCUGGCUAUCACUUAGGAUGGGCCCGCGGCGCAUUACCUAGUUGGUGAGGUAACGGCUCAUGAGGCAACGAUGCGUACCCGACCUGAGAGGGUGAUCGGCCACUCUGGGACUGAGACACGGUGCAGACUCCUACGGGAGGCAGCAAUACGGAAUCUUCCGCAGUGGACGAAAGUCUGACGGAUCAACGCCGCGUGAACAAUGAAGGUCUUCAGAUCGGAUAGUUCUGUUGUUACGGAAGAACAAGUGCCGUGCCAAUAAAAAGGCACCUUGACGGUACCUGACGAGGAACCCCCGGCUAACUACGUGGCAGCCGCCGCGGUAAUACAUAGGGGGCAAGCGUUGUCCGGAAUUAUUGGCCGUACAGCGGGCGCAGGCGGUUCCUUAAGUCGGAUGUGAAAUCCCACGGCUCAACCGUGGAGGGUCAUUGAAAACUGGAGAACUUGAGGACAAAAGAGGAAAGUGGAAUUCCACGUGUAGAGGUGAAAUGGCUAGAUAUGUGUAGGAACAUGACUGUGACACGCAACUCUCUGGUCUGUUUCUGACGCUGAGGUGCGAAAGCGUGGGUAGCAAACAGGAUUACGAUACCCUGGUAGUCCACGGCGCAAACGAUGAGUGCUAGGUGUUAUGGGGCUUACACCUCUUAGUGCUGAAGUUAACGCAUUAAGCACUCCGACUGGGAGAGUAUUGACCGCAAGGCUGAAACUCAAUGGAAUCGACUGGGUGCACUUCACAAGCAGCUGCGAGCAUGUUGUUUUCUAUUCCGUAGGCAUCGCUGAGAUCUGUGACCAGGUCUUGACGAUCGCUUGCACCGACCCUAAAAUUCAGGGUCUUCCCUGUCUGGGACCAAGUGACUGUGGUGACAUGUUGUCUAACUCUCGUAGUCGAGAGAUGCUCGUGGUCAGUACCUGCACCGACUGCAGCCGUAACUUAAGUGCAAUCGUCGAGUACACCCUCAAGGGUACUGCCAGGUGGACAAGCCGGAUGAGGCCCGUAUGGAGCAUCCAUCAUGCCUUUAGCUGCUACGCGUGCUACCGGACGGUAACAAGCGUCAGCAAUGUGCGCUGCGAG
rnacentral:rRNA from 1 species